rnacentral:rRNA from 1 species
GACGAACGCUGGCGGCGUGCCUAAUACAUGCAAGUAGAACGCUGAAGGAGGAGCUUGCUUCUCUGGAUGAGUUGCGAACGGGUGAGUAACGCGUAGGUAACCUGCCUGGUAGCGGGGGAUAACUAUUGGAAACGAUAGCUAAUACCGCAUAAUAGUAGAUGUUGCAUGACAUUUGCUUAAAAGGUGCAAUUGCAUCACUACCAGAUGGACCUGCGUUGUAUUAGCUAGUUGGUGGGGUAACGGCUCACCAAGGCGACGAUACAUAGCCGACCUGAGAGGGUGAUCGGCCACACUGGGAAUGAGACACGGCCCAGACUCCUACGGGAGGCAGCAGUAGGGAAUCUUCGGCAAUGGACGGAAGUCUGACCGAGCAACGCCGCGUGAGUGAAGAAGGUUUUCGGAUCGUAAAGCUCUGUUGUAAGAGAAGAACGAGUGUGAGAGUGGAAAGUUCACACUGUGACGGUAUCUUACCAGAAAGGGACGGCUAACUACGUG